AAUAUUGGACAAUGGGCGGAAGACUGAUCCAGCCCUGCCGCGUGUGUGAAGAAGGUGUUCGGAUUGUAAAGCACUUUCUGCUGGGAGGAAGGGCAGUAGGUCAAUACCUUGCUGUUUUGACGUUACCGACAGAAUAAGCACCGGCUAACUUCGUGCCAGCAGCCGCGGUAAUACGAAGGGGGCAAGCGUUUAUCGGAAUUACUUGGCGUAAAGCGCGCGUAGGUGGGUCGUUAAGUUGGAAGUGGAAGCCCCGGGCUUAACCUGGGAAUUGCUUUCAAAACUGACGAGCUAGAGUACGGUAGAGGGUAGUGGAAUUUCCUGUGUAGCGGUGAAAUGCGUAGAUAUAGGAAGGAACAUCAGUGGCGAAGGCGACUUCCUGGACUGAUACUGACACUGAGGUGCGAAAGCGUGGGGAGCAAACAGG
rnacentral:rRNA from 1 species